rnacentral:rRNA from 1 species
UACGGAUGGGGCAAGCGUUGUUCGGAAUCAUUGGGCGUAAAGGGCGCGUAGGUGGUUCUGUAUGUCUACCGUGAAAGCAUACAGCUCAACUGUAUUUUGUCGGUAGAAACUGCAGGACUUGAGGCUGGGAGGGGCUGGUGGAAUUCCCUGUGUAGCGGUGAAAUGCGUAGAGAUGGGGGAGAACACUCGUGGCGAAGGCGGCCAGCUAGACCAGUUCUGACACUGAGGCGCGACAGCGUGGGGAGCAAACAGG